rnacentral:rRNA from 1 species
ACGGAAGGCAGCAGUGGGGAAUAUUGGGCAAUGGGGGAAACCCUGACCCAGCAACGCCGCGUGAAGGAAGAAGGCCUUCGGGUUGUAAACUUCUUUUACCAGGGACGAACAAAUGACGGUACCUGGAGAAAAAGCAACGGCUAACUACGUGCCAGCAGCCGCGGUAAUACGUAGGUUGCAAGCGUUGUCCGGAUUUACUGGGUGUAAAGGGCGUGUAGGCGGAGCUGCAAGUCAGAUGUGAAAUCCCGGGGCUCAACCCCGGAACUGCAUUUGAAACUGUAGCCCUUGAGUACCGGAGAGGCAAGCGGAAUUCCUAGUGUAGCGGUGAAAUGCGUAGAUAUUAGGAGGAACACCAGUGGCGAAGGCGGCUUGCUGGACGACAACUGACGCUGAGGCGCGAAAGCGUGGGGAGCAAACAGGAUUAGAUACCCUGGUA